GAAUGGGCUUCUACAAAGUUGGAAAAUCUGUCCAUCAGUGCAAACAACUUAUCAGGGCAUAUUGACUACUUGGGAAAGAUUACCACUCUUAAAUCUCUGAGCAUAGAGAGCAACCUGUUUUCUGGACCUGUUCCUUCUGAGCUUGGGAACUUGGUGGACUU